rnacentral:rRNA from 1 species
AUUGAACGCUGGCGGCGUGGAUUAGGCAUGCAAGUCGAGCGCGAACCCCGCAAGGGGGGAGAGCGGCAAACGGGGUAGUAACGGGUAGGUGACGUACCCUCGGGUUGGGGAUAGCCACGGGAAACUGUGGGUAAUACCCAAUAAUCUCCUGGAGCUUGAAGGCUUCGGGAGCAAAGGUGCGAUUCCACCGGAGGAGCGGCCUGCUUCGUAUUAGCUAGUUGGUGAGGUAACGGCUCACCAAGGCUUCGAUGCGUAGGGGGUGUGAGAGCAUGACCCCCACCACUGGGACUGAGAUACUGCCCAGACACCUACGGGUGGCUGCAGUCGAGAAUCUUCGGCAAUGGGCGCAAGCCUGACCGAGCGACGCCGCGUGUGGGAUGAAGGCCCUUGGGUUGUAAACCACUGUCAGAGGGGAUGAAGUGCCAGAGAGCAAUCUCUCUGGUUUGACAUAGCCUCAGAGGAAGCACGGGCUAAGUUCGUGCCAGCAGCCGCAGUAAAAC